AAGAUUUUUAUUUAUUCUUUUUAAAUAUUUUUUGUAAUAAAUAUUAUUUUAUAUUUAGAAAAUAAAAUAUUAAGUAAAUGAUGUUUUAACCCAUCUUUUCUCUUAAUUUUUUUGUGCCAUAGAAAUUUUUGGGAAUUAUAAAGCUAGUUUGAAGAUAAAUGGUACCUAUUGAGAGGGAAAAUGAUAAAUCUCUCGUGCAACUAUUGCAAGAAUGUGUCAUUUUAUGAUUGGGGUGCUCGUUGAUCGUGAGAUAGAAUCUGGUUCUCAUAAUUUUUUUUAUAUUCGUGGGCUUCUGACAAGAGACAAACCCAAAUGGCAAAGUACCAUUUGACCCUAAGCUCAGUCUGGGCUGCCUUCUAUUUUGGGUCUCGUCAUAGCCCACUAAAAUUGUCAGGACAAUUUUGAUCUGCUUUUUCUUUUUCAUCAGAGUCAAAUCAAGCUAGAGAUACUAUUUUUUGACUUGUUUCAUUAUAGACAAGUUAGGAAUAUUACUGAUAACUUGUUAUGGAAUAUCUAGGUUUGUUACUUGUCAUGAAAGUAGACCGACUAUCCUCACGCCAAUUUUUUUCUUUUUUAAUUUAAUUUAUGUUUAUGCAUUGAUUUCCAUAUAUCUUAUGAUAUAAUUUUUAUGUGUAAUCAGAGCACACCAAAAAUAAAACAAAAUUAUCUAUGAUUUAGACAAGCUAAAAGGAUAUAGCUGAGGUUGGAAAUUAAGUUUAGUUUAUUGCUUUUAUUAUUUUUGAGUAUUUACUUUUAAAUAUAAAUUAAUUUGUGGAGAAUACUACCAAACUAGAACAACGUGGUAUUGAUUUAACAUGUUAUCUCUACCGAAUAUGUUAGUCCUCAAGCUGAAUAUAUUUUUAUUUAAUGCACUCACCAUUUUCUUGCAAGAGCUACUAUAUCGUAACAAUUUUACCAAAACUAAUUAGGUGAUCUGUACUAAUAAAGCCGGUAUCACCUAGUUUAGUAAUCAUAAAAUUUUUUAAGUCGAAAACAAAAAGUGAAAUUUGAACUCUGCUCAGGUAAGUGGAUUAAGUAUUUACAAUAAUAAUAAAAAAAAAAGAUAUCUCGAUCAUAUAAUCAAUAAUCAUGAUAAAAAUACGAGUAACUAAUUAAAAUGAACUCUUCAUAAAAAAAAAGAAAGUGAAUGGCAUAUGGGAUUAUUCAAUCACUUAAGUUGAAGAGAAAAGGCAAGGAAGAAUCUAUGUUGAAAUUGCAAACCAUUCAUGCCAUAAUAGAAAAACCUUUAACCUUUAGCCUUUAUAGUUGGGUCUUGGGCAGAAUAAUAGGAGCAAAAUUGGUGGAGCAGCAGCAAACAGGGGAAGGGGUUCAAUGUGUUCAUAGCUGUCAUACUCCAAUUUCAUAGGGCAGCAGGCAUCACAGGACUAAUUUAGUUAGUAGUGCUCUAUGUCUCAUGUGAGCCUCAGCUUUUACCCUUUUCAGGGCAUCUAAUCACAUGAUUACUGUGUAAAUCUACCUCUCUUUUUCUUUCUUUUCUUUUUUUUUAUUUUUAUUUUUAAAAAAAAAACUUUCUCUUUAUCCAUCAUUGUUUAAAAUGAUUUCUUAUUUUUAUUCGACUCAAAAGUUAGUUUUUACAUUAUUAGUUCACCGACUACUCUCGACUGGUACGAGAUAUUUUUCUCAACUGUCCUCAGGAUGCAUCGAAGUUGAUUUUCUUCCGGUUUUUUAUUUGUAUAUGACAAAAUCAUGUACGGUUUACAUAAAUAUGACAACUUUUAAUCAAUUAAAUUUGUAUGACAUUUUGGUGAUCCCUAGUCUAAAAUGCCCUUAACAUCUCCAACAAAAGCAUGCACCCAGCUUAUAAUGCGCCCAGCAUUCUAAAUUGUUAUCAAACACUUACUAAAAUCAUCACAUUCCCUUAACAAAUUCAAACAUAUUCCAAAAAUUUCUUCAACACAAAUUUUACACGUCAAAUUUGCUGCCGAAUUGAGUUUGUUUAUCAUGCUUAUCGUUUUCGUGACUUCUUUACUUCUAGACUUAUGGACCUGCAGAUAAGUCUAUAAAUCUAGAAGUCUAGAACUGAAGUACAGAAGUCUAGAAUAACUUUUAACAACUUAUUUUUGUUAAUAUUUUUAUUCUGUCAUCACAUAAUUUUUAAGUAAAUAGAUAUGGUACGUGUUAUUGUCUUAUAUAACGGUAAAUGGAUUAAUCAAAUUAAUGAAUACAAGUUCAAUGCCUUCCUAAACUUCCUAACUCAAGUUUUCUUUAAUUUUUUUAACCUAGUUACUUAUAAGAGUAUUUGUGUACUUUCACUUGUUAUUGGGUCAUAGUCUUGGCAUGUAAAUAAUUGGGUCAUUGUCUUGACAUUUUUGCAAGUAUUAAGUCAUAUCCAGUGCAAUUUUCUCAUUUUCUUCAAUAUUUAGAGUUGAUUUUUAUUUUAGGAGGUCCUGAUGGUCUUUUAAUUAUAAAGUAAUUGAAAAAAAAAUUAUGCCACCACUGAGCAAUUUCAAAUAAGCAAUAUUACCAACUUAUAUUAACGGAACUCUUAAGAUUUUAUUUAUAAAUGCAUGGGAACUUAUGUACUUCAAUUUGUAAUUUACAUGUGAUAAAUUAUUGAGGAUUUUGGAAGUUUUAAUAAAGCUCAAAUUGGAAAAUAAUAAUUUUAUGUCAAGUUGGAAUGAAAUAUAUAUCCUGAUUUUGAAUAUACCCAACAAAAUAAUAAUAAUUUUUUUGGAAAAAAAAAAAGAAUAAUGAACUUGUAGUAUUCCAGCCAAUCAUGCUUCAGAGUUCAGAGUCGAGCCAAAUACAGGUGUUGGGAUCUCUCAUCUCGAUCUAACGAUUUUCCCCGAUAAAAUGCCGAUACGAUCAAUACAACGCCUUAUCGCGAUUUUUUCACCUACUGAAAGUCUGAAACCCCGCAACUUAAGUCUUAAAAUCUCCUUGGCGGGCCCCAGUAGAAUUUGCCUCAACAGCUGCCUUGCAGCCUUGCCUUGCCCCCC
rnacentral:lncRNA from 1 species